rnacentral:rRNA from 1 species
CCUACGGGAGGCAGCAGUGGGGAAUUUUCCGCAAUGGGCGAAAGCCUGACGGAGCAAUACCGCGUGAGGGAGGAAGGCUCUUGGGUUGUAAACCUCUUUUUUCAGGGAAGAUAAUGACGGUACCUGAGGAAUAAGCAUCGGCUAACUCCGUGCCAGCAGCCGCGGUAAUACGGAGGAUGCAAGCGUUAUCCGGAAUGAUUGGGCGUAAAGCGUCCGCAGGUGGUUUUAAAAGUCUGUUGUUAAAGCGUGAGGCUUAACCUCAUAAGGGCAAUGGAAACUGUAAGACUAGAGUACGUUCGGGGCAAGGGGAAUUCCCAGUGUAGCGGUGAAAUGCGUAGAGAUUGGGAAGAACACCGGUGGCGAAAGCGCCUUGCUAGGCCGUAACUGACACUGAGGGACGAAAGCUAGGGGAGCGAAUGGGAUUAGAUACCCCAGUAGUCCUAGCCGUAAACGAUGGAUACUAGGCGUUGUCUGUAUCGACCCGGACAGUGCCGUAGCUAACGCGUUAAGUAUCCGCCUGGGAGUACGCACGCAAGUGUGAACUUAAGGAAUUGACGG